rnacentral:rRNA from 1 species
CCUACGGGAGGCAGCAGUGAGGAAUAUUGGUCAAUGGACGAGAGUCUGAACCAGCCAAGUAGCGUGAAGGAUGACUGCCCUAUGGGUUGUAAACUUCUUUUAUAAAGGAAUAAAACGAGGCACGUGUGCCUUUUUGCAUGUACUUUAUGAAUAAGGAUCGGCUAACGCCGUGCCAGCAGCCGCGGUAAUACGGAGGAUCCGAGCGUUAUCCGGAUUUUUUGGGUUUAAAGGGAGCGUAGAUGGGUUGUUAAGUCAGUUGUGAAAGUUUGCGGCCCAACCGUAAAAUUGCAAUUGAUACUGGCAGUCUUGAGUACAGUUGAGGUAGGCGGAAUUCGUGGUGUAGCGGUGAAAUGCUUAGAUAUCACGAAGAACCCCGAUUGCGAAGGCAGCUUACUAAGCUGUGACUGACAUUGAUGCUCGAAAGUGUGGGUAUCAAACAGGAUUAGAUACCCGAGUAGUC